rnacentral:lncRNA from 1 species
AUGCUUCCCUCCUGCAAACCUGCUCACCAGCAGAACUUUCAAAGAAACCUCUUUCUGCUCCACAGUUCCAAGCCAGACAUUCAGCGUCGCCAAACGAGCCCAAAGCUUCAAGACCCUGUAGAGAUCGUCACAGAUAUGACAAUAUCUGCAAGUUGGAACCUCACUGUGGGCAAUACUGCAGUGAUAAACUGCACCGUGCACAAACCAGGAAACGGCCACAAUGUGACUUUGCAGCUGAUGCGGACAAAACUGGGCCUAGAGGAAAAGUUUAAGGUGCUGGUGAGCCAACCAGCUUCAAGAGGGAUCUCAUAUGUACUGGGUCCCAUUACUCAUGAGCACCUGGGAGAGUCUGUAGCUGUGUGGAAGGUGGCAGCGCGCCUAAUGCUGACGUUACGGAUCGGCACCAUUUAAUCUGGGUUACUGGUUAGCAAUGAUUUUAAUUACUAUUGUAGCCCAGACCAUUUUGUUCACAAAUUUUGGCUGGUACAGAUUUGAACAAUUUUUACUUUAACAGUUAUUCACACAAAACAGUCUGAAGGAGUUACUCAAACUAAAAGUGUAAAAGGAAAAACUGAAUAAUUUGGCCCAGUUUCCCUUGUCUCAUUAAGUUGACAGCAUCUGUAACAGUAUUUUCUGAAGUCUGAAACCGGCCGUGUCUAGGCUUACAUUAUAUAGCUGUCCAAUGACACACACUGAGUACUGUCUGUAGGUGGUGUUCUGUUAAUCCCCUACUAGAACUGUGUGAAACUAAAGUUUCCAUCUCCUAUUUUCAAUACACUAACUUUUGCUUACAUGAGCAGACUUACUUACCACAGUGCGGUAAUUGUCAAACUUAUCUUCAUGACAGACUCGUCUCCAGCAGUCACAAUAAACUUGCUCAGCAUCAACAGGGUCAACUUCUUCGGUGAAAAGACUAUCACUGUUGGGUGCCAGCUGCCUAACAAAGUCAGUGGAAGAUGAUGAGGUUGGUAAUUCUUUUAUUGUCAUAUUUCCUGUAUCUAGUUUGGACUGAUAAAAUAAAAAGCAGACAGAAAACACCAUCAGUACAAGGUGGCAGCUGAAGCUUGGGUGGUAGGUUCAGUUGCCAAGAUGCAAAAUCCCAAAAUCACUCUUAAAACAAGAAGUCUGCUUGGAAAAGACUUGGUUAUCCAAAAACUUCCAAUGAAAUCUGAAGAAAAGAAAUGUAGAGUGAAAGUCGGAUGAACUAAAUACUUCACCUUACUUUUAUUAUUCCAGCUUUGACAUGGAUACAGGGACUAUCAGAGUGUGCGGAUCCACAGACUUCAGGCUGCCUCCUGUCUUGCACCAUUAAAACAGAAAUGACUCAUUAGA